AUGAAGCCUCAUACCAGCGUCGUCAGACCUAAACUGAUGUCACUGCCAGCUGAAGCUCCUCUGAUAAUACAGGACGUUACAGACGCGCGAGCCACGCGUCCUUCAAACCUCAUCUCCAGUCCUCCAGUGUCCGGAUGUUCCACGGCUGCUGAAGCCAGGCUGAAUGUUUUCUCAGCGACACGGAAAUGCCCACGCAGUCCGAGCGAUUCCAGGGAUCUAAAGCCUCACAGUGUCAGCUCUAUUACUAAAGGGCCACUGCUUCCAUUUCUAGCCAAAAAUCGCUCAAACGUAACCUCACAAAACAAUGUGUCUGACAGUGAUAUUUCUGGACGGCAUUUCUUAUUUGAUAAACGAUGGAGAAAUGGAACUUACUUCACUAAUGGCAUUGAAGGUGAUGUUCUGAUAAACCACAACCCUACAAAUCCACUGUCUCAGGACUUCCAUGUGUAUCGCUCUCACAAUCUAACCAGAUUCGCCCACCGCAAAGAACUCUGCCUGCGCGACCCAAGACCACUUAUUUGCGGGUCUGAUUAUCUGGCUUCAUUUCCAUCAGUUCUGUUACCAGCCACCACCCCAUCUGUCAGUGGACGGCUCUGUUUAUCACAAAACUAUAAAAACAGGUAACAAUUAUUUAUUAUUAUUAUUAUUAUUAUUAUUUUAAUUUGGCUAUACAUAUUGUGUUUGUUGCAUACUUAUUAUACUCUCUCUUGUCUUACUCUCUGCAUUUCAGAUUAAGGAUGAAAACCAGAGCACGAAAUCUCUUCGAUGGCGCUAACAAAAGUGAGCAUUUCAGCUUUAAGCUUAAAGCGAAUGUUUAAAUGCUUAUUAGUUAUCAUCAGUUAACUGAUUUAUUGUCUUGUGAUAACUCAUCUAAAUAGACUAUUUUUGAAAGCUUAUUUUUGUCAGUUGGCACUGGUAAAUUGAGCACAUAGCAUGUGUUAUUUAGGUGUUUGCUCAGUGUUUAACAGAUGAGAUCUUUCACUUCACUCCUGUUACAGAUUCAGACCACAGACUCUGAUGAAUUUCACAUGUGCAUGUGUUUUUCAUGAGCUCACAAACGUUGAAUACACACACUUAACUCACUUAACACUUAAGCACACACACACACACACACACACACACACACACACACACACACACACACACACCUCCCACCAGGCUGUAGGCCAUUAUUGAAAUUCCCAGUCUUUUGUAUGAGGUGAGAAGAGCGUUACCUGUGUAAACCUGAAUAAGCAAACUGUGCUCUUGUCUAACCAGCCUGUGGGCCGGUAAUUGUUUUUCAGCCCAAUCGUACCCUGAUCCACACCUGGGUGCCUCGGCCUCUUUUGUUCAGAGGCUCACAGAGAUUUCUUGUCUGGAAGCAGAAACAGUGCGGCAGGAGAGAAUGAAGAGACUCAAAAAGAUCAAUAGGCAGGAUUCUUAAUCGGAGUUCAUUAGCCAAAGAGGAAACACUUGACUCUUGAAAUCACAGCUGUGCCAAGAUGGAGCAAAUAAAAUCAAGGAGAAAAACUUGAGAGGUACAGAGUGUUAAUGCACAGUCCCUGUACUGUAACUGAAAUGAAAACGAUGACGUCAGCAACAAUUUAUAUCUCUGGUGUAAAACUAUCAGGGAUUGUUGAAUUUAAAAUCAAAUUUACAUGAAAGUGUAUCAUGUACUCGCCAAGAAUAACUGCCUUAACAUUGCCUUAAACUACAGUGAUGAUGGAAUUAUAGCACUUAUAUACGUUUUCUAAAUCAUGUUGCAUAUAUGAAAAAACUUUGUGUACUGCCGUGUGUACUUAAUAUGAUCAUAUCCAAAUAAACAUAUUUUGUCAAAGAUACAAAUUCUUUCAUUGACAUCUAAAAGUUAAGAACUGCAUUAUAAAAUAAUAUGAAACUCUAAGUGUAUUAUAUUGUUGAUUGAUAGUUUUGAUAGUCUUGUAUAUCAGCCAAUAGCAAUCACAAACAAAUGGCUGCUGUAUGUUUUAGCUGAUAAUACACUGUACAUUAGAGAUACAUCAGUAGUUGAACUCAGGUUGGAGGCUGCACCUUUGUGCAGGUUUUCCUGGAAAGCGUGGGAGAGCUCCAUUCUACACCAAAGUGUCUUUUGUCAAAAGGAAAAGGGCCAGGUUGAUUCGGUUCAAGACUAGGUUGGCACAUUCUGGGCAGAGAGAAGAACGAUAAUGUCUUUUUGGCUUCAAGACUUCACCUGCAAUGAGAAGGAUAUUAUUAUUUUAGGUUAUUAUUAUUAUUAUUGUUAAAUAAUGACAUAUACACA
ensembl:lncRNA